AAAUUGAAGAGUUUGAUCAUGGCUCAGAUUGAACGCUGGCGGCAGGCCUAACACAUGCAAGUCGAACGGUAACAGGAAACAGCUUGCUGUUUCGCUGACGAGUGGCGGACGGGUGAGUAAUGUCUGGGAAACUGCCUGAUGGAGGGGGAUAACUACUGGAAACGGUAGCUAAUACCGCAUAAUGUCGCAAGACUAAAGAGGGGGACCUUCGGGCCUCUUGCCAUCGGAUGUGCCCAGAUGGGAUUAGCUAGUAGGUGGGGUAACGGCUCACCUAGGCGACGAUCCCUAGCUGGUCUGAGAGGAUGACCAGCCACACUGGAACUGAGACACGGUCCAGACUCCUACGGGAGGCAGCAGUGGGGAAUAUUGCACAAUGGGCGCAAGCCUGAUGCAGCCAUGCCGCGUGUAUGAAGAAGGCCUUCGGGUUGUAAAGUACUUUCAGCGGGGAGGAAGGGAGUAAAGUUAAUACCUU
rnacentral:rRNA from 1 species